rnacentral:ncRNA from 1 species
CGCUCAUCCAGAGGGGCAGAGGGAACGGCCCGUAGAAGCCCCGGCAACCGGCGUCAGCGCCAUGCACAGAACCUUGUGCAGAGCUAUGCGCAGACGAUCACGGUGCCAAUUCCGACCCGUUCGAUUUCGCGGGAAAGAUGAGGA